UAGAACGUUGAAACAUCGGUUCACGUACGAUCAGCGAAGUUAAGCAACGUCGAACUUGGUCAAUACGUUAAUGAGUGACUGCUUGGGAAUAUCAGGUGCUGUAAG